UACGGAGGGAGCUAGCGUUGUUCGGAAUUACUGGGCGUAAAGCGCGCGUAGGCGGCUUUGUAAGUUAGAGGUGAAAGCCCGGAGCUCAACUCCGGAACUGCCUUUAAAACUGCAUCGCUUGAAUCCAGGAGAGGUGAGUGGAAUUCCGAGUGUAGAGGUGAAAUUCGUAGAUAUCGGGAGGAACACCGGUGGCGAAGGCGGCGAUCUGGGUCGAUACUGACGCUGAGGUGCGAAAGCGUGGGGAGCAAACAGG
rnacentral:rRNA from 1 species